rnacentral:rRNA from 1 species
UACGUAGGGGGCAAGCGUUGUCCGGAUUUAUUGGGCGUAAAGAGCGUGUAGGCGGCCAGAUAGGUCGGUUGUGAAAACUGGAGGCUCAACCUCCAGACGUCGACCGAAACCAUCUGGCUAGAGUCCGGAAGAGGAGAGUGGAAUUCCUGGUGUAGCGGUGAAAUGCGCAGAUAUCAGGAGGAACACCGGUGGCGAAGGCGGGUCUCUGGGCCGAUACUGACGCUGAGGAGCGAAAGCGUGGGGAGCGAACAGG